CACUUCGGCGAUAUACAUUAUCGCCAAAGCCGCCAUAUCUUUAUCUCCAUUGUCGGUCCAUCGGAUUCGAAGUAUGCCGAUUGUGACACCAUCCAGCCCGCGGUGUGUGUGUGUGUGUGUGUGUCCUGGUCUCUGAUGUGAUUUACGUUACAUACCUCCCUCCUUAGAUUGAUUUUGGUCCUCUAAAAUCUCAGUAUUUCUUCAGGAUUGUUUUAUGGAGGCUAAUUGGCUAAAAGUGUGUUUUCUUCUUUGU
rnacentral:misc_RNA from 1 species